rnacentral:rRNA from 1 species
GCUGGCGGCAGGCCUAACACAUGCAAGUCGAACGUGAAGCGCUCCUUCGGGGGCGUGGAAAGUGGCGCACGGGUGAGUAACGCGUGGGAACCUGCCCUGGGGUAAGGAAUAACCGCUGGAAACGGCGGCUAAUACCUUAUACGCCCUUUGGGGGAAAGAUUUAUCGCCCUGGGAUGGGCCCGCGUCGGAUUAGCUAGUUGGUGAGGUAACGGCUUACCAAGGCGACGAUCCGUAGCUGGUCUGAGAGGAUGAUCAGCCACACUGGGACUGAGACACGGCCCAGACUCCUACGGGAGGCAGCAGUGGGGAAUAUUGGACAAUGGGGGCAACCCUGAUCCAGCCAUGCCGCGUGAGUGAAGAAGGCCUUAGGGUUGUAAAGCUCUUUCAACGGUGAAGAUGAUGACGGUAGCCGUAGAAGAAGCCCCGGCUAACUCCGUGCCAGCAGCCGCGGUAAUACGGAGGGGGCAAGCGUUGUUCGGAAUUACUGGGCGUAAAGGGCGUGUAGGCGGGUAUUCAAGUUAGGGGUGAAAGGCCUGGGCUCAACCUGGGAACUGCCUUUAAAACUGGAUACCUAGAGUGCGGGAGAGGGUAGCGGAAUACCCAGUGUAGAGGUGAAAUUCGUAGAUAUUGGGUAGAACACCGGUGGCGAA